UGUUCACUCGUGGUUCUUGUGUUGCUACCCAUUUAGCGGUAUUCAUGUGCCUCUUAAGACCCGUUCAAUCCAGACCCCUUGUAGGGAGUGCUGGUGAGUUCGAAAGUGAUGCAUGUUUUGCGUUAGCUGUGCAUUGUAACGGCUGGCGUGCUAACAUGUGUCUACUGUUCCCUCGGAUGCGGUGCAUGCGGUGAACGUGGGCUGAUGAUUGUGCCCCGUUGAGUCCCUUUUAAUUAUCGGUUGCCUUGAAUGACACUUUGUCGUAGUGCCAGUGUUGCUUUACCAUUCGUGGUGUCAGCACUAGUACGUCGAGCAGAGUCGUUGAUGGAUGCUACCUGGUUGAUCCUGCCAGUAGUCAUAUGCU
rnacentral:misc_RNA from 1 species